UACGUAGGGUGCGAGCGUUGUCCGGAAUCAUUGGGCGUAAAGCGCGCGUAGGCGGCCAGAUAAGUCCGGUGUGAAAGCCACAGGCUCAACCUGUGAAUGCCGCUGGAAACUGUCUGGCUAGAGUCCGGGAGGGGCGAGUGGAAUUCCUGGUGUAGCGGUGAAAUGCGCAGAUAUCAGGAGGAACACCAAUGGCGAAGGCAGCUCGCUGGAACGGAACUGACGCUGGAGGCGCGAAAGCGUGGGGAGCGAACAGG
rnacentral:rRNA from 1 species